GGCGGCAUAGCCAAGUGGUAAGGCCGAGGUCUGCAAAACCUCUAUUCACCGGUUCAAAUCCGGUUGCCGCCUCCA
rnacentral:tRNA from 38 species